rnacentral:lncRNA from 1 species
CCAGACCACAAACCCUAGCCGCCAGCCGCUCGCCGGAGAAGACGAACCAGAGGCCGACCGCCGCCACCCGCCGCCACUCGCCGCCGCACCGGGGAAAUUUCCGACCGCCGAUCGAGGUAAAUUUCAUACCCCCGACUCGUUCUUCCCACUGAUUCCUCCUAUGGCCAAAUCGAAGCCGAAAUCCCGGCCAAACGGCCGGAAUACGCGGCCGAAGCCCAGCGGCGCCGCCGCACCCCCUCUCGGUUUUUGCCUCCGACGAGGCCCUUCCCGGCCUCC